rnacentral:rRNA from 1 species
AUUGAACGCUAGCGGCAUGCCUAACACAUGCAAGUCGAGCGGAGUGGCGAACGGGUGAGUAAUGUCUAGGAAUCUGCCUAGUAGCGGGGGAUAACUUCCGGAAACGGUCGCUAAUACCGCAUACUAUCAGAUGAGCCUAGGUCGGAUUAGCUAGUUGGUGGGGUAACGGCCUACCAAGGCGACGAUCCGUAACUGGUCUGAGAGGAUGAUCAGUCACACUGGAACUGAGACACGGUCCAGACUCCUACGGGAGGCAGCAGUGGGGAAUAUGGGACAAUGGGGGAAAGCCUGAUCCAGCCAUGCCGAGUGUGUGAAGAAGGUCUUCGGAUUGUAAAGCACUUUAAGUUGGGAGGCGUUACCAACAGAAUAAGCACCGGCUAACUUCGUGCCAGCAGCCGCGGUAAUAC